UACGGAGGAUGCAAGCGUUAUCCGGAUUUAUUGGGUUUAAAGGGUGCGUAGGCUGUUGCGUAAGUCAGGGGUGAAAGACCGGGGCCCAACUCCGGAAGUGCCCUUGAUACUGUGCAGCUGGAGUGCGGAUGCCGUGGGAGGAAUGGGCAGUGUAGCGGUGAAAUGCAUAGAUAUUGCCCAGAACACCGAUUGCGAAGGCAUCUCACGAAUCCGCAACUGACGCUGAGGCACGAAAGCGUGGGGAUCAAAC
rnacentral:rRNA from 1 species